rnacentral:lncRNA from 1 species
AAGAUUCACAUCCUUACUUGAAUAUGAAAUUUCCUGGAUGAAAUAAUCUAAAGACCAUGGCAGAAAGGACCCAGAUUAAUCUAUACUCCCAAGUGAGCCUACCUUGCAAGGUUCCACGGGGGAUACAGAAUGCCACCAUAUACUGUAGGUUUAUGCUAAGCUUCCCACUUGGAAGGGCGCAACAGCAGACCCCCUCCCCAAAGAAAAAAAUAUUCUUCAACCUGGAUCAUCCUCUUUAUUGUUAUCAACCUUAAUUCAUACCUGGGCAGUGACUCAACACAUUUUUUCCCAGCUAAUCACUGGAUACGUCAGCAUUUUACAAUUGCCUUCACUUACACUGUUUUUUUUUAUUGUUCAGGUUGCAAAAUCAUAUACAUUAUCUUAAUCAUCCCUAUGACAGUUUCCUGUGGUAGGUGAGUCUUAUGGAAAAGGAAGCAAAAGGUAAGGAGUUUGUUUUGCUUUGGUGUGUUGUAUUCUGAUUUUCAAAAAGGGCUUGUUAACCCGCAAGCUGUCAACAUCCUUUCCUACUUGCUGUUGACUUGUAACCUGAAAAAUCUCUCUCUUUCUCGGUGGCCCCAUCACACACCUCCCAAGAGGAAACCUACGUUGGCUUAAGCUUGUGUAGCACAAGGAAGCACAGUUUCUUGGAAUGAAAAGGGCAGAAAUCAUGGCUGUUUAGGGGUGUGUGUGGAAAAUAAAACAAGUUGACUGAUACACAAAGUUAAAUAAUUAGUGAAAUCACUACUCAGGGCAGUUUACAUAACAAAAACGUAAUAUUUGUGGCAAGCCUCCUGAACACACAAUGUCAUUUCAUUUCACCCAGGGUGGUCCUCUAAAGGUUUGAUGUCUCAUCAGCCGCAGCCAGCUUUCCAACAGAGAGGGCUACUGGAGGGUUACCAUUCAACUACAUCUGGAUUGGGCUGCCCUUACCUGUGCAUCUCUCAGGGCCUCCACCAUGUAGGGAAGCGCUCAAAGUGUGGGACUGAAGCUUCAGAGGUACCCAAUGAGCCACGAAACAAUCUAAGUGGCUUGGGCCAGUGGUGGUCUCGCUUCCUUUCUCAACCUGGCCUACUUCACAAGGUUGUUUGUGAGGAUAAUGAAGGAAUUACAGCAAAAAGCACACAGAGGAAACUUAACAGCUCCUGGAAACCAGGGAAAAGUCUUCUUUCUGCAGACUGCAAAAUCCUAAGUCACCUUCACAAGACUUCAGUCCAAAAUAGAUUUUCUGCAUUCUUAAAUCUACUGAGUAAUGCUCUGUUGUGCAUCUGUCCUAAAAGAAUAAGUGACACCGUCCUAUAGCAAAAUCUCGGGUCCUCUCAGUCUUGUUCUCUGCGGACAUUAUCCCUUUAUUAUUUAAGCCUUCACAGCAUGAGAUAUGGGAUGACAGAGUUGGGGAACUCUGAUAGUGCCUUCCCUAAAUUAGAGGAAUGGUUAAAGGUCACUCUUAUUCUUGAAUUGACCUCACAGCUGGAACAACAUGUGCAUUCCAGAGGAGAUCUCAUUGACAUGAAUAAACUCAGGCUAUGAACUCCA